GUGGGGGAAGAAGGUUUUUGGAUUGUAAWCCCCUUUUNCUCAGGGAAGAAGUUCUGACGGUACCUGAGGAAUAAGCCUCGGCUAACUCCGUGCCAGCAGCCGCGGUAAUACGGAGGAGGCAAGCGUUAUCCGGAAUUAUUGGGCGUAAAGCGUUCGUAGGUAGCCAUUCAAGUCUGCUGUCAAAGACCCGGGCUUAACUCGGGAAAGGCAGUGGAAACUGAAUAGCUAGAGUGCGGUAGGGGUAGAGGGAAUUCCCGGUGUAGCGGUGAAAUGCGUAGAUAUCGGGANAGAACACCGGCGGCGAAAGCGCUCUACUGGGCCGCAACUGACACUGAGGGACGAAAGCUAGGGGAGCGAAUGGGAUUAGAUACCCCAGUAGUCCUAGCUGUAAACGAUGGAGACUAGGUGUAGCCUGUNAUCGACCCGGGCUGUGCCGUAGCUAACGCGUUAAGUCUCCCGCCUGGGGAGUACGCACGCAAGUGUGAAACUCAAAGGAAUUGANCGGGGGCCCGCACAAGCGGUGGAGUAUGUGGUUUAAUUCGAUGCAACGCGAAGAACCUUNACCAGGGCNNNNNUUGACAUGUCGCGAAUCUUGCUGAAAGGUGAGAGUGCCUACGGGAGCGCGAACACAGGUGGUGCAUGGCUGUCGUCAGCUCGUGUCGUGAGAUGUUGGGUUAAGUCCCACAACGAGCGCAACCCUCGUUUUUAGUUGCCAUCAUUAAGUUGGGCACUCUAGAGAGACUGCCGGUGAUAAACCGGAGGAAGGUGGGGAUGACGUCAAGUCAGCAUGCCCCAUAUGUCCUGGGCGACACACGUACUACAAUGGUGGGGACAACGGGCAGCCAACUCGCGAGAGCGCGCUAAUCCCUAAAACCCUGCCUCAGUUCAGAUUGCAGGCUGCAACUCGCCUGCAUGAAGGAGGAAUCGCUAGUAAUCGCAGGUCAGCAUACUGCGGUGAAUCCGUUCCCGGGCCUUGUACACACCGCCCGUCACACCAUGGAAGUUGGCCAUGCCCGAAGUCAUUACUCUAACCUUUCGAGGAGGAGGGUGCCAAAGGCAGGGCUGAUGACCUUAUAGGGAGACCCAUUGGGAGGAUGAAGGAGAUAUUUAUUAAUCCUUUCACCAACCGAAACAUCCCAAGGUCGUGCAAGGAUUGAACUCAUCGAACUUUCAGACGAGAAGGUUUCGGAACUUAAGUGAUUUCCGAAAUGGACUAUUAGCUCAGGUGGUUAGAGCGCACCCCUGAUAAGGGUGAGGUCCCUGGUUCGAGUCCAGGAUGGCCCACCUCAACUCAAAUUAUUCAUUUGAGUCCGAGAUGGGGGUAUAGCUCAGUUGGUAGAGCGCUGCCUUUGCAAGGCAGAUGUCAGCGGUUCGAGUCCGCUUACCUCCACCAGGAAUAUCUAACUCGAAAUCGCGAGAAACAAUUCAGCACCAUCUUUAAAAGUUCUCAAUUAGAACUUUCUAAAGAGACUGCUGGAGAAAUCUCCAGCCCGAACCAUGAAAACUGCAUAGUCACUGAAUUAAAGUCAGGAAAGUCCGUAAAAUCAACGAGACUCACAAAGAUUUUAUUCUAUUCAAGCCCAAAAAAAGUAGUGGUCAAGCUACCAAGGGCUAACGGUGAAUACCUAGGCACACAGAGGCGAAG
rnacentral:misc_RNA from 1 species